CGGGGUGUGGAGGCCGUGCUGUAAUGGCGGCUGGGCGGCUCGGUCCUGCUUCGUGCGGGCUGCGUGCCCCGCUGUGAGGGCGGGCUUGAGCUGAGCAUCUGGCUUGCACAAAGGCACCAAGGCUAAGGCAGGUCCACCUGUGUUUUCUGCAGAGGAUUUCUCUCGGUACUCUUAGGGAAGAAAAAGGCUUUGAAGCUGCUGACAUAAGCACUCAGUCCCUCCUGGUUCUCUGCUUGUCCUGCACUUCUCUCAAUAGCAGAUAAAUGACUACAGGGAGAAACUACUCACAGACAACCUGCAUCUGCUCUGCACGGACUCACCUCCAUUUACAGAAAUAAGCGCACUGGCAAGGGCUUGACUCGUGUCAUCACCCAAGGUGAUGUUUAUACAGUACGUUCCGGGUUCAUCAAAAGCUCUCCUAAUGGUAACAACAAAGUCAACCAGUGGAUUUUCAGCUUCACUUUCUGUCAACUGGAUGCUUGUCAUCCGAAUAAUAUUUACCUCAAGGAUUCCCUCUGGGAGAGGAAACAGAUGUCAACAGUAGGACACAUGACAACCUUGUGUGUACAGAAACUCAAGUGUUUGGCUGAUGCUCAGGUUGUUGAUUCUUGAAGUGAAAAGUGACCUUCAAAGACCAUGUUUCAGCAUGGUUGGCCUGAUCCAAAGCCUGAUGGGGAGAAAGGAGGUUUGAGCACUGCUUCCCAAUGGGGUUUUUUAGAACCUUCAGGGGGAAAACUGCUGACAACAAAUGCCUAGUAAUUAAAACCAAAAAUUUAUCAGCCUAAAAAUAAUGAAGUUGGUUAAGACAGAGAUUUUUUGCCGUGUUAUUUGAUACAUGAAAAUGUUACAUAAAUACUGAGUGACACUCUCAAUAAGAGCCAGCUGGUGAAAAUUACUGAACACGUUGUAAAUAGACUUCAGGGGCACUGAGGGUUGGGUGUGUGGUUAGAGGAAUCCAAAACCACCAGGGCUGGUGGUUGACAGCUAAAUGGUGGCUGUGCCAUUGAGGAUCUGGUCCUUCACAUUCUCCCUCCUCAGCUCUUGGGCAUUAGAUUAAACAUUCCAGAAGGGCUGACACAGAAAACUUUUGGAUCCAUUUAUGCUGUGGCUGCAGCCGACUCAUUAGCAAGAAAAGAGAAGGGGAGGAAGCCAUGUAAGCAAGAGCUAGGAAGAAUAGUGUUGUAAAAAAGAGUAAGGAGAGGAAUAAAGAGGCCAAGGAAAAGCAGUAGAAGUUAGAAAUGAAGGCUGAAGUGAUUGAAGUAGUGAUCUGUGUCACAGCCUCAGCUGACUUCACCAUUUACAUUUGGAGUUCCUCUGAAAUACUGAAGACUUGCUUGAAGCUGGCUGAUCAUCACUGGAUCUUAAAUUAACUUUGUAGAAUUUACAUUAUUAUUCUUGGUCCCUUGAGAAGCACCUUCACAGUUAAAAUAGCUGAACUAAAUAUCUAUAAAGGCAGAAAUAUUUAAAAUAUAUCCUAAACAUUCUUCCAGCAAAGAAACACAUUCAGAGAGAUUUGGGGCUUAAUCUUACAAAGAAAUGGGUGGGUACUUCACAGCUUUAUUUCCUCAGUUAUUAAAACUUGUCCAAGAGAUACAGAUCUGUGUUACCUGAAGGCUUGUCAGAUGACAGGGUGUGAUCAAAUCAUGUGUACCUACAUGUCUAGAUUGUGACAGAGCUGGCAUGUUCUCAUGCUAUCACACUUCCAUCUCAACACAAGUACAAGAAUUAUUAAACACUUCUCACAGGAGCUUAAAGAAAAAAAAGGAGGGGGGAUUUGAAGAAUGACCUUGAUCUUUGGCCAAGCCAGCACACAAAAAUGAGACGAUCUUAUUUGAGUUAACCAGGUAUGUGCAGGUAUAAACUGUCUGCCAUUCCCUGGAGUCUCUUGAGGGAACGCUGCUUAAGAUUACACAAGUUCCCUUUCUGGGAGGAAAUCACCUGUGUCUCACUUCUCAAGGGACAGGGGCCCAUCAGCUGAGAAAACUGAACAUGUAAAUAAAACUAUGUUAGCAGUUUGCUUUUUUUGUUUGUUUGUUUUAGAGGGGAAAAAAAAAAAAAAAGAAGAGAGGAGAGGAAAAAGAGCCCUACAAAAGUUCCUAAUCAGUUUAUGGUGCCAUCCAGCUCAGUUCAUCACUGAAGAAUAAAUUAACCCUCACAACUAGUUGAAAUGGCUUUUAAUAGUUUCAGUAUCUCCUUUUUUUUAAAUAUUUUUAUUUUUUUAUUAUUAAUUUCUUUUUGUCAGCUAAAGCUACAGCUAAGAUUGUACCACUUUCUAAGGGAAGACAUUUCCACACAGUUACUCUCCUGUGUUAGCACUGAUGCUGCCCAAACUUUGCACUUGACCAGGGUAUAGAAUUCUGGAUCUUUCACGUGUUAGAUGUCACUUUUGACCUAAAGCAAAGACUUGAAUGAGCAUGCCAUCCCUCUGCUUCUUUAGGGAUGUCUUUGUUGUUUCCUCCAUGUUAAUGCUAGCCUCGCUGCUCAGGUACAGCCACAUUUAUGAUAGUGUCCCAGAAGCCUUGUGAAAGCAGCUUAGGAAGGCACGGAAAUCCCAGGCGUCAUUCCAUCAGGGUAAGGCUGCAGCUUUUUGACAUAAAAAAAAAUCCACAAGAGCUCAGCCAUGAAAUACAAAUCUGCACCAACCCACACAUUCCCUCACAUGCGGAUGUGUUUUCCUGUUGAUGGGAGUUAAUUCCUGCAGAUGACCAGAAGUUGCAGUUGAAGCACAGUAACAGAUGCUGGUCCUUUAGAUAUCACAUCUUUUCUUCUUCAGGUGUUUAGAUGAAGCAGGUGAGCCUCAUUUAAUGUCUGUAGGCGGGUUUUUAAAGUAUGGUGCUAAUGCAAGGAGGAGUUGUUAUGUGGUAAUCCCUGUUCCAGUCUCUAGCUGAUGUCCUCAAAGGCCUCUGUGAGCUGUUGGUGGCUUGAUGCAUAUCUCAGCUGAGCCUUGUGUGGAGUUGUCACCAAUUGUUUCGGUAUGGACAUUGGUUUUUACUGUGCUGCUUUUCUCAUGCUGGUUUAAUGAAUGGUUAGUUAUGUGGUUUAUACUCACAGUGACUCAUUAAGGCACGAUCCUCUGCUCGUUGAGGCAGAUAAUUGCUGUGAGAGUGCAUGAUUACGACUGUAGUGCCUGUGUUUUAUACCAUGUUGUAAUGAAAUCCAUUCAGACCUCUCUGCUGCUUGUGGGGACUGUAAAAGGAAGAUUCUGUGUCCAUCAGCUCAAGACAGAGCAGCCAAAUUAUUGCUGAAAAGCUGUUUUUCCUAAAGACUCUUACUGAUAUUUUGGCUGUGAGAAGAAGAAAGGUAUUUUAAAAAAUAAUAUGUGACCAAUAAGACAAAUAAAACCUAAACAAGAAAAUAAUGUAGUAAAGAGAAUAAUACAUUAUGAAAACAUUAGCUGUGUAGUCAUGUUAGUGGUAGGACACUGAAGGCAAAGUGAUCUCAGAGUCAGAAUCUGCUCCUUUAAAGGUUUUCUAAGAAAUAGAGUAAACUUAACAUGCUAAAUCGUAUCUUGUUCUCUGUAUGUGCUGUGUUCCAUUCAUUAUGAGCUGGCUACAAGGGCGCAGCACAGAAGGUAUGUUGUUUCACAGCCCAGUGCAAUUGUCUUGACUACUCAAGAGUUAACCUCAGCACUUCUCUGAAACAGUCAGAAAAAAUGGAAGUGCUGGAAGAUGAACUUUAGCAGAACAUUCUCUUUAGCAUAUUGAAAAAACAAGAACAUGGGCAAAAUCCUGCAUUUUUUGGACUACGUUAUUAUUUAGACUCCACUGGCACAUGGCAGUAAAUCAGAGUCACCUGUUCCUUGGAGGCCAGACCCAUGGGUAGAGGGCUUCCUACCUGCAGAAGCUUUAACAGAAACUGAAGGUUUUCUGAAGGUCACUAUGGGGG